CCUCCCCGCUCCCUCCACGCCCCGCUGCGGCGGAGACGAGAGGGGUGGGGAAGGGGCAGAGAACUGUGAGGACAGAUCCGCUACGGGAAUGAGGGUCUUGGAGGAAGCCUCUUGACAUCACCCAAGGAUCGCCGUUAGCAGCGGCUGGCACGCAAAUACUGGUACCCGGGAUCGCAGAAGGUUCCUGUGCGAGAGCAUCUUUCCGCUAGACAUGAAGGAAUAUCAGCAGGCAGUGGAUGGUGAGAAACCAAAUUGCACUGCCAGGGAGAUCUGCAGGAAAAGAAUCUCUGGUUUUUUGGCACAUGAACAAAACCCUCGGCAAUAACGACGCCGACAGGAAGGGGAGCUGGACUCGCCAGCCCCCUGCCCCCACCGAGGACGGCUGGCGUAGCGCAACGUGGGCGACCCACGCAGCCAGCGGGAGCUGCAUCCCCGCAGGAUGGCAGGGAGAAGCCUCUCAGCGGCUCGCAAACCGAUACCGCGUCGGUAAGAGAUGGCAGCUCCUCAUCAAAGGGAAGCCUCGGCGGGUGGCAUAGGAUCCACUCCAGGGCAAGUGGUCCAGGAAGAGCCGAGGAGAGCCAGCAGGACAUCAUUUUCCCAAAGGAUUGAAGACAGCUGAAUCCCUCACAGAACAGUGGCUUGAAUCAGUAUCAGAGGAGGAUUUCACUGGGAACUUCAUGCUAAUUUAGAAUUAGCACAAUACCAAAUAUAGCAAGAAGGUUUUUAUAAUCAGUUUAAUUUGAUGCAAUUUAAAGAGAAAAAAGCAUUGAACGGUGCAGCUAACAAAGUCUACUUUUCAAGGUGGUCACUACAUUCCCUCCUUGUCUCAUACACACCCAAAGUAAUUCAGUACUGUCCUCAGAGGAAUUGGUUGACCAUCUCAAAUAAUUCCCACACAUUACUCCAAUUACUGCAAGCUUGAUUCAGGAAACAGAAGAAAAGGAGCUAACCCUGCUGUUCCAUCUUUAGAGUAAAAAGAAACUAUUAGAUACAAAUACUCCAGGUCCUGCUAAAGUAUUUAGAAACAUGGGAGCACUAAGAUGCUUAGAAUGGCAGUGGGAGGAGGGGAAAAAGUAUAAAAUAUUUAUUCCUCUAAGCAUUUAAAAAACCUUAGGACCUUAAAGUUUAUUACUGUUUGUGAUUUGCAUACAUAAUAAAUGCUACGUACCCCAA